rnacentral:rRNA from 1 species
AGUAGCCACGGUAAUACGUAGGUGGCAAGCGUUGUCCGGAAUUAUUGGGCGUAAAGGGCUCGCAGGCGGUUUCUUAAGUCUGAUGUGAAAGCCCCCGGCUCAACCGGGGAGGGUCAUUGGAAACUGGGAAACUUGAGUGCAGAAGAGGAGAGUGGAAUUCCACGUGUAGCGGUGAAAUGCGUAGAGAUGUGGAGGAACACCAGUGGCGAAGGCGACUCUCUGGUCUGUAACUGACGCUGAGGAGCGAAAGCGUGGGGAGCGAACAGGAUUAGAUACCCGUGUAGUCCCUGUCUCUUAUACA